rnacentral:rRNA from 1 species
UACGUAGGGUGCAAGCGUUGUCCGGAAUUAUUGGGCGUAAAGGGCUCGUAGGCGGUUUGUCGCGUCGGGAGUGAAAACUCAGGGCUUAACCCUGAGCCUGCUUCCGAUACGGGCAGACUAGAGGUAUGCAGGGGAGAAUGGAAUUCCUGGUGUAGCGGUGAAAUGCGCAGAUAUCAGGAAGAACACCCGUGGCUAAGGCGGCUCUCUAGUACGGUACUGACGCUGAGACGCGAAAGCGUGGGGAGCGAACAGG